rnacentral:lncRNA from 1 species
GUUGGUUGUGGCUUUCCUCUGUAAUUCACCCAGCAAAUGCCAAGACCAGCAUUAGGACUUGGGAUUUGCCUUAUGCAGUGACCUUUAGGGUGAAGAAGAUUAGUGAAAAUUUUCAGAAAUAAUUCCCAGAAUUUUUAGAAGUUACCACUGCCAGUAGCUUUCUCUGAACUUCAUGGGAAAGAAAAACUUCAACCUAAAGAAGUCACUAGUUCAGAUACCCCAUAUGGAGACAUCCAAAAGUGGAAGUCACUUGGCUGUGGAAUGUCAUGUGUUACCUGUCAGCUCUCAAAAUGACACUUGGGCCUGAGUGGUUUGCAAAGGAAAAAAAGCAGGAAACUGAGUCUCACUCAUUUUGCUCACUUCUUGCAUCAUCGUCAGCAUAUGUGCUGUUGCAAUGGGAAGAACUCCAGGAGUGUUUAUGCCCAAGGGUGGAGAACAUGAGAGCCUGAGAGGAAUAAAGCAUAGCUGCUGUCUGAUGAAAUGCUGUGCUCUCUUCCUGCUAAGGAAGACAAGUGGCAGGUGAUCACAGAGGGUGUGGAGCUGCUCUGCAAGAAGUCAACAGGCAAGUGGAUAUGGCUUAUAAUAUGGCUGCUGUUCAACAAGGAAAAUACGUGAGACUACCUCUCCUGUUUAGUUUUUGGUACAUAAAAUUUGUGAUGUUCACCUUUGGCAUGUGGGUGGACUGCCAUUUUGGGUGGUGAUGGGGAAUACAACACUAAUUUGAGAGUCGGUGAUCAUGAUACAAAAGUGAUUGUAAGGCUGCACCCUGGUGCUUAUCUCUACUCUUUCUGUUGUUCAUUUCCUAUCUAUUGUUAUGGUUAUCACUUACAAUAAAAGAACAUUGAUUUACA